AUUGAACGCUGGCGGCAGGCUUAACACAUGCAAGUCGAGCGGGGUGAUGGUGCUUGCACUAUCACUUAGCGGCGGACGGGUGAGUAAUGCUUAGGAAUCUGCCUAUUAGUGGGGGACAACAUCUCGAAAGGGAUGCUAAUACCGCAUACGUCCUGCGGUAGAAAGCAGGGGAUCACUUGUGACCUUGCGCUAAUAGAUGAGCCUAAGUCGGAUUAGCUAGUUGGUGGGGUAAAGGCCUACCAAGGCGACGAUCUGUAGCGGGUCUGAGAGGAUGAUCCGCCACACUGGGACUGAGACACGGCCCAGACUCCUACGGGAGGCAGCAGUGGGGAAUAUUGGACAAUGGGGGGAACCCUGAUCCAGCCAUGCCGCGUGUGUGAAGAAGGCCUUAUGGUUGUAAAGCACUUUAAGCGAGGAGGAGGCUCUUUUGGUUAAUACCCAAGAUGAGUGGACGUUACUCGCAGAAUAAGCACCGGCUAACUCUGUGCCAGCAGCCGCAGUAA
rnacentral:rRNA from 1 species